rnacentral:lncRNA from 1 species
AGGGACUAGCCCGGGGGUGGCAACUUAGGACUACUUGUCAACAGGUCAACAGGUACUUUCCGGUCUGGGAACACAAUACUCUGCCAUCAGCAGCAGGUGUGCUAUGUCAUUCUUGCUGUCCACAGGAGUGAUGACAAGAGUGAGCCUACUCUGUCACCACGUCCAGGUUUCAGGAGUCUAGAAGAGCAUGUAGCAUACACAUGAGCUUAGGCUCUCCCAGGACGAUGCUAUUGGUCUAGUUGUCCUGGAAGUGUUUCAUGUGGGAUGUGGUGUUUCUCCAACCCCAUCAUAGGAAGACAUGGGCUCUCUGUUCUACCUCAUGCUGGACGUCUUAGAGACUGGCUGCCACGUGCUCAGCAGGAAGGCACUGAAGGACUGCGGACCGAGGAUUUUCUAUGAGACUGUUCAUGGACAGUGCAAAGCUAUGUUUCACGUUAACAAGCCAAGAAGAGUUCUCUACUUACCUGCUUAUAACUGUACACUUCGCCCAGUUUCUAAAAGGAAGAUUCAUUCUAUGUGCCCUGACUGCCCGCAUCCCGUUGACUUGUCAGCCCCCAGUGUUCUGGAAGCUGCCACAGAAUCACUUGCGAAGUUUAACAGCGAGAACCCCUCAAAACAAUAUGCACUCGUCAAAGUCACCAAGGCUACGACCCAGUGGGUGGUUGGUCCUUCUUACUUUGUGGAAUAUUUGAUCAAAGAGUCACCAUGUACCC